GCCACAUGAUGUGACGUAGAUUGCAUUAGCACUCUGUGUGAAGAUGACCUGCUAUCUAUCACCCAUGACUGAUGGCU
ensembl:snoRNA SNORD83 Small nucleolar RNA SNORD83